GACGAGGGGUCCUAGCGUUGUUCGGAAUCAUUGGGCGUAAAGCGGGUGUAGGCGGAUAAGUAAGUCAGAUGUGAAAUCCCUGGGCUCAACCCAGGACGUGCAUUUGAUACUGCUUAUCUUGAGUAUCGGAGAGGUUCGUGGAAUUCCAGGUGUAGUGGUGAAAUACGUAGAUAUCUGGAGGAACAUCGGUGGGGAAGCCGGCGGACUGGCCGAAUACUGACGCUCAGACCCGAAAGCGUGGGGAUCAAACAGG
rnacentral:misc_RNA from 1 species